rnacentral:lncRNA from 1 species
CGGCGCGGUCGACCAGCUCGCCCGGCCCUCUCACCCACCGCGCGCAUCGAUCCCUACAUAAACCCUCGCUCGCCAUCGCCGCCAUGGCAUUCUUGAUUCUUGCAUCAACCACCACCAGGCAACUCCGCUCAAUCUACACCUAGCUAGUCGCGAUCAUCAGCAGCACGUCAGGUCGUCGAUGGCCUUUCGGGGAGGGAGACCGGCGUUCACCGCGCUGCUGCUCCUCCCCAUCCUCGCGGCGGCGGCGCGGGGCGCCCCGGCGGGGGGG